rnacentral:rRNA from 1 species
GUGGGGAAUCUUGCGCAAUGGGCGAAAGCCUGACGCAGCCAUGCCGCGUGAAUGAUGAAGGUCUUAGGAUUGUAAAAUUCUUUCACCGGGGACGAUAAUGACGGUACCCGGAGAAGAAGCUCCGGCUAACUUCGUGCCAGCAGCCGCGGUAAUACGAAGGGGGCUAGCGUUGCUCGGAAUUACUUGGCGUAAAGGGCGCGUAGGCGGACAGCUUAGUCAGAGGUGAAAGCCCAGGGCUCAACCUUGGAAUUGCCUUUGAUACUGGCUGUCUUGAGUACGGGAGAGGUGAGUGGAACUCCGAGUGUAGAGGUGAAAUUCGUAGAUAUUCGGAAGAACACCAGUGGCGAAGGCGACUCACUGGCCCGUUACUGACGCUGAGGCGCGAAAGCGUGGGGAGCAAACAGGAUUAGAUACCCCGGUAGUCC